UACGUAGGGUGCGAGCGUUGUCCGGAAUUAUUGGGCGUAAAGAGCUCGUAGGCGGUGUGUCACGUCGGCCGUGAAAACCUGCAGCUUAACUGUGGGCGUGCGGUCGAUACGGGCAUCACUGGAGUUCGGCAGGGGAGACUGGAAUUCCUGGUGUAGCGGUGAAAUGCGCAGAUGUCAGGAGGAACACCGGUGGCGAAGGCGGGUCUCUGGGCCGAUACUGACGCUGAGGAGCGAAAGCGUGGGGAGCAAACAGG
rnacentral:rRNA from 1 species